rnacentral:rRNA from 1 species
UACGUAGGGCGCGAGCGUUGUCCGGAAUUAUUGGGCGUAAAGAGCUCGUAGGCGGCUUGUCACGUCGGGUGUGAAAGCCCGGGGCUUAACCCCGGGUCUGCAUUCGAUACGGGCAGGCUAGAGUGUGGUAGGGGAGAUCGGAAUUCCUGGUGUAGCGGUGAAAUGCGCAGAUAUCAGGAAGAGCACCGAUGGCGAAGGCAGGUCUCUGGGCCACUACUGACGCUGAGAAGCGAAAGCGUGGGGAGCAAACGGG